rnacentral:rRNA from 1 species
UACGUAGGGGGCAAGCGUUGUCCGGAUUUAUUGGGCGUAAAGCGCUCGCAGGCGGCUCGAUGACGUCGUGCGUGAAACACCCCGGCUCAACUGGGGAGGGUCGUGCGAUACGGUCGGGCUUGAGGCCAGUAGGGGGAUGCGGAAUUCCGGGUGUGAGGUGGUGGAAUGCGUAGAUAGUCAGGAGGAACACCGAUGGCGAAGGCAGGUCUCGUGGGCCACUGACUGACGCUGAGAAGCGAAAGGCAUGGGGAGCGAACAGG